rnacentral:rRNA from 1 species
ACAUACGACCAUAGGGUGUGGAGAACAGGGCUUCCCGUCCGCUCAGCCGUACUUAAGCCACACGCCGGGAGGUUAGUAGUUGGGUGGGCGACCACCAGCGAAUCCCUCCUGUUGUAUGUU